rnacentral:rRNA from 1 species
GACGAACGCUGGCGGCGUGCUUAACACAUGCAAGUCGAACGGAAAUGUCCGGCUUUGGUGGGGUGCGCGAGUGGCGAACGGGUGAGGAACACGUGAGUAACCUGCCCUUGACGUUGGGAUAACUUCAGGAAACUGGGGCUAAUACCGGGUAGGAGCACCUGCUGUUUGGUGGGGGUGGGAAAGUUUCGGCGGUUGGGUAUGGACACGCGGCUUAUCAGCUUGUUGGGGUGGGUGUGGCUUACCAAGGCUUUGACGGGUAGCCGGCCUGAUAGGGUAACCUGCCACAUUGGGACUGAGAUACGGCACAGACUCCUCUGGGACGCAGCAGUGGGGAAUAUUGCCCAAUGGGAGGAAGCCAAAUGCAGCACCGCCGCGUGCCGUAUAACAGGCUUGGCGUUGUAAACCGCUUUCCCCUGUGCCGAAGCGUGAGUGACGGUAAUGGGUAAAGAAGCCCCGGCUAACUACGUG